GACGAACGCUGGCGGCGUGCUUAACACAUGCAAGUCGAACGGAGUGGCGAACGGGUGAGUAACACGUGGGUGACCUGCCCUGCACUUCGGGAUAAGCGUGGGAAACUGGGUCUAAUACCGGGUAGUGGGGGAUGGGCCCGCGGCCUAUCAGCUUGUUGGUGGGGUAAUGGCCUACCAGGGCGGCGACGGGUAGCCGGGCUGAGAGGUUGGACGGCCACAUUGGGACCGAGAUACGGCGCAGACUCGUACGGGAGGCAGCAGUGGGGAAUAUUGCACAAUGGGCGGAAGCCUGAUGCAGCGAGGCCGCGGGGGGGAUGACGGACUUCGGGUUGUAAACUCAUUUCACCAUCGACGCGGUAGAUGGAGAAGAAGCACCGGCUAACUACGUGCCAGCAGCCGCGGUAAUUC
rnacentral:rRNA from 1 species